rnacentral:rRNA from 1 species
AGCUACAGGCUUAACACAUGCAAGUCGAGGGGCAGCAUGGUCUUAGCUUGCUAAGGCCGAUGGCGACCGGCGCACGGGUGAGUAACACGUAUCCAACCUGCCGUCUACUCUUGGACAGCCUUCUGAAAGGAAGAUUAAUACAAGAUGGCAUCAUGAGUCCGCAUGUUCACAUGAUUAAAGGUAUUCCGGUAGACGAUGGGGAUGCGUUCCAUUAGAUAGUAGGCGGGGUAACGGCCCACCUAGUCUUCGAUGGAUAGGGGUUCUGAGAGGAAGGUCCCCCACAUUGGAACUGAGACACGGUCCAAACUCCUACGGGAGGCAGCAGUGAGGAAUAUUGGUCAAUGGGCGAGAGCCUGAACCAGCCAAGUAGCGUGAAGGAUGACUGCCCUAUGGGUUGUAAACUUCUUUUAUAAAGGAAUAAAGUCGGGUAUGGAUACCCGUUUGCAUGUACUUUAUGAAUAAGGAUCGGCUAACUCCGUGCCAGCAGCCGCGGUAAUACGGAGGAUCCGAGCGUUAUCCGGAUUUAUUGGGUUUAAAGGGAGCGUAGAUGGAUGUUUAAGUCAGUUGUGAAAGUUUGCGGCUCAACCGUAAAAUUGCAGUUGAUACUGGAUAUCUUGAGUGCAGUUGAGGCAGGCGGAAUUCGUGGUGUAGCGGUGAAAUGCUUAGAUAUCACGAAGAACUCCGAUUGCGAAGGCAGCCUGCUAAGCUGCAACUGACAUUGAGGCUCGAAAGUGUGGGUAUCAAACAGGAUUAGAUACCCUGGUAGUCCACACGGUAAACGAUGAAUACUCGCUGUUUGCGAUAUACUGCAAGCGGCCAAGCGAAAGCGUUAAGUAUUCCACCUGGGGAGUACGCCGGCAGCGGUGAAACUCAAAGGAAUUGACGGGGGCCCGCACAAGCGGAAGAACAUGUGGUUUAAUUCGAUGAUACGCGAGGAACCUUACCCGGGCUUAAAUUGCAGAUGAAUUACGGUGAAAGCCGUAAGCCGCAAGGCAUCUGUGAAGGUGCUGCAUGGUUGUCGUCAGCUCGUGCCGUGAGGUGUCGGCUUAAGUGCCAUAACGAGCGCAACCCUUGUUGUCAGUUACUAACAGGUUCCGCUGAGGACUCUGACAAGACUGCCAUCGUAAGAUGUGAGGAAGGUGGGGAUGACGUCAAAUCAGCACGGCCCUUACGUCCGGGGCUACACACGUGUUACAAUGGGGGGUACAGAGGGCCGCUACCACGCGAGUGGAUGCCAAUCCCCAAAACCUCUCUCAGUUCGGACUGGAGUCUGCAACCCGACUCCACGAAGCUGGAUUCGCUAGUAAUCGCGCAUCAGCCACGGCGCGGUGAAUACGUUCCCGGGCCUUGUACACACCGCCCGUCAAGCCAUGGGAGCCGGGGGUACCUGAAGUGCGUAACCGCGAGGAGCGCCCUAGGGUAAAACUGGUGACUGGGGCU